CCUACGGGCGGCAGCAGUAAGGAAUAUUGGGCAAUGGAGGCAACUCUGACCCAGCCAUGCCGCGUGAAGGAUGACGGCCCUAUGGGUUGUCAACUUCUUUUAUACGGGAAUAAACCCGGGUCCGUGUACCCGGCUGAAUGUACCGUAAGAAUAAGGAACGGCUAACUCCGUGCCAGCAGCCGCGGUAAUACGGAGGAUCCAAGCGUUAUCCGGAUUCAUUGGGUCGUAGGGGUACGUGUAAGGCUUUGGUGAAAUCCUACAGCUUAACUGUAGAACUGCCGUUGAUACUGCAAGUCUUGAGUACAUUUGAUGUGGGCGGAAUGUGUCAUGUAGCGGUGAAAUGCUUAGAUAUGACACGGAACACCGAUUGCGAAGGCAGCUCACAAAACUGUAACUGACGCUGAGGCACGACAGCGUGGGGAUCAAACAGGAUUAGAUACCCCGGUAGUC
rnacentral:rRNA from 1 species